rnacentral:rRNA from 1 species
GUGGGUAACCUGCCUUGUACUGGGGGACAACAGUUGGAAACGACUGCUAAUACCGCAUAAGCGCACAGCUUCGCAUGAAGCAGUGUGAAAAACUCCGGUGGUACAAGAUGGACCCGCGUCUGAUUAGCUGGUUGGUGAGGUAACGGCCCACCAAGGCAACGAUCAGUAGCCGGCCUGAGAGGGUGAACGGCCACAUUGGGACUGAGACACGGCCCAAACUCCUACGGGAGGCAGCAGUGGGGAAUAUUGCACAAUGGGGGAAACCCUGAUGCAGCAACGCCGCGUGAGUGAAGAAGUAUUUCGGUAUGUAAAGCUCUAUCAGCAGGAAAGAAAAUGACGGUACCUGACUAAGAAGCCCCGGCUAACUACGUGCCAGCAGCCGCGGUAAUACGUAGGGGGCAAGCGUUAUCCGGAUUUACUGGGUGUAAAGGGAGCGUAGACGGUUUUGCAAGUCUGAAGUGAAAGCCCGGGGCUUAACCCCGGGACUGCUUUGGAAACUGUAGAACUAGAGUGCAGGAGAGGUAAGUGGAAUUCCUAGUGUAGCGGUGAAAUGCGUAGAUAUUAGGAGGAACACCAGUGGCGAAGGCGGCUUACUGGACUGUAACUGACGUUGAGGCUCGAAAGCGUGGGGAGCAAACAGGAUUAGAUACCCUGGUAGUCCACGCCGUAAACGAUGAUUACUAGGUGUUGGUGGGUAUGACCCAUCGGUGCCGCAGCAAACGCAAUAAGUAAUCCACCUGGGGAGUACGUUCGCAAGAAUGAAACUCAA